CUCGCAAGAGUGAACUAGCUAACUGAAAUCACUAAUUGAUUUUAUCAAUGUGAAGUGCUAAGGGAAAAUAAUGAUACUACCUUGGUAAGAGUGUUGUCUAAUUCUGGUGCCAGAAGACUCGGUAAGGCCAGUAACGCAAACGUUAGUCAUCUUAAUCAGGCGUAAAGGGUUUGUAGGCUGCUUUUAGUAUCUUUUAAUUACUCUUAAAAAAAUUUAAAUAAAUAAAGAAAGAAAGUUAAAUUACUAUUUUAAGUUGUUUGAUAUAAAAGCUAGAAUCAAUUAGAAGUUAAAACGUAUAAUACUUAGAGGAGAGUUAAUAACCACAGAACCUAAGGGGAGUACUAAAGGUGUAAACAACUAACUAUUUAUGAUUGACGCUGAGACACGAAGGUGAGGAUAGGGAAGAGGAUUAGAGACCCUGGUACCCCUCUCUGUAAACGAUGAAUGGUAGUUGUCAGUUUUUACUGGUGACGAUGUUAACGCGUUAACCAUUCCGCCUUGGGAGUACGACUGCAAAGUUGAAAACAAAAAAAUUAGUCGGUCUCGAAGCAAACGGAAUGAAGCAU
rnacentral:rRNA from 1 species